AGGCGUCGACGGGUAGCCGGCCUGAGAGGGCGACCGGCCACACUGGGACUGAGAUACGGCCCAGACUCCUACGGGAGGCAGCAGUGGGGAAUAUUGCGCAAUGGGCGAAAGCCUGACGCAGCAACGCCGCGUGCGGGAUGACGGCCUUCGGGUUGUAAACCGCUUUCAGCAGGGACGAAGGGUCACCUUGACGGUACCUGCAGAAGAAGCACCGGCUAACUACGUGCCAGCAGCCGCGGUGAUACGUAGGGUGCGAGCGUUGUCCGGAAUUAUUGGGCGUAAAGAGCUUGUAGGCGGUCUGUUGCGUCGGAAGUGAAAACUCAGGGCUUAACCCUGAGCCUGCUUUCGAUACGGGCAGACUUGAGGGAUGUAGGGGAGAACGGAAUUCCUGGUGGAGCGGUGGAAUGCGCAGAUAUCAGGAGGAACACCAGUGGCGAAGGCGGUUCUCUGGACAUUUCCUGACGCUGAGAAGCGAAAGCGUGGGGAGCAAACAGGCUUAGAUACCCUGGUAGUCCACGCCGUAAACGGUGGGCACUAGGUGUGGGUUCCAUUCCACGGAAUCCGUGCCGAAGCUAA
rnacentral:rRNA from 1 species